GUUGCCGUAGUGUAGCUGUUAUCACGCACGCCUCACACGCGCAAGGUCCCUGGUUCGAUCCCGGGCGGGAACA